UGGCCACAUCACGUUAAAACACCGGCUCGCGUACGCUCAACGAAGUUAAGCAACGUCGGGUCUGGUUAGUACAUUUAAUGGGUGACCGCUUGAGAAUACAAGGUAAUGCAAG